CGCCAAGCACACCGGCAUACUCACAAGUGCGCUCACAGAACAGAUUCGUAGACAGACCUCGCCGCCUCGUCACCGGGACAGCUCAGCACGUCCUCUCACCCCUCGCAAAACGCGCCUGUAACGGACGCUGCUCGCGCUGAGGUGCGUGUGUGGGUGUGUGUGUUCGGUCAUCUCUUUUCCCUCUUCCUCCUUCCACGUCUCUCAGACAUGUCCGACGCUUCUGCGUCGCCGUCGCCGUCGGUAGAGCCCUCUCCGGAGUUCACCCUUCGUGACUACGUGGUGCAUCAGCGUGUAUUACAGCAGCUGCUGCGGUCUCAACCGGUGUGGCUGCUCGACGACGUGCUCAGCCUGCGGUAUCGUGCACGACUCCGGCUGUGUCUCUCACCGCGCCCGCAGCUUCACUUCACGGAGGACGCUGAAGAUGACCCUCACUCCUUCGAGACGGACCGGCCGUCGAGUAAACACCACGACGCAGCAGAGCACGGUGACAGUGACUCCCAGGCAUCCGCCAUGGAUGAUGGAUACCCUGUCGUCCCUCUCACCCCCGCCUGCAGCAUCGAGCCGGCGGCGGAGGCGGGUGAGGCGUGCGGCGGUGGCCUGCGUCUCCGCAUUGCCCCUGGCGCUGCCUGUGGUGCCGCCGCGUCAGCCGAUUCCCUCUCCUUUCUCAUCAUCCCCGCUUCCACGGCGGCAGGGCUCACCUCCGCCUCGGCCUGGGUGACGGUGCUGCGUCGUCUCUGCCGUCUGUCCAGUGCGCCGCCGCGCGUGAGUGGCGUUGUCGACGCUGCUAAUCGAUUGAAAGGCGGUUGGGGCACACUGUCGGCGCCCUGUCACGCCGAUCCCGUGUCGGCAGACCAAAAUGGCGCUGUCACUCCGUCAGCGAUCAAUGAAGGUGAUGAGGGCAUGCUGCCGAUCGCAACACCGACCCCCAGCUCCUGCAAUGGCUAUGCAUCGUCUCCCGCUCCUGUGGAGGCGCCUCCUGUGUCUUCGCCGGCGCACCUGAUGGCCGGUGCAAUUCUUGACAGGGAUGUGGAGGAGGAUAGGCGGCAACUCGAACGCCUCACUGAGGCCCUGCGCGCCCGAACUCGCGAAGCGGCGGAGCUUAAGGCACAGCUGCGGCAAGUGACUACGACGACGCCGUCUCUAGCUUCCGCACGGCUCGAUCCGACGCUGUCCACCAGGUCUGCCGUGGUCGACAGCACUGCUGCUGCCACACCAGCGGCAGUGGCUGCUGGCGAGGAAGUCGAACGACCUCCAACAAUGGCGCACGUGGGCAGCGGCCUCGUGCCGGCACUGCAGGGGUUUCCGCCUCACCUGGCCGAGAUGUCUUCCGAGGAUGACGACGACGACGAGAGCGGUGGCGACGACGAUGAGGGCGGCUCUUCGGGCGAGCGAGGCACUGGCCUAGCGGCGCGGAACUGCUUCAGAAGUAACGCCAGCAGCGCGGCCUUCGUCCUCUCCGAAGACUCGGCACGGCCACAGGCGCCACGCAGCGGCCAUGUGUGCAACCUCGGCUCCCUCGGCCCCACGUGCGGCGACGAGGACGCGCUGCGCAUUUACAAUGAAAUCCACGGAGGUCACAGCAGCAGCUGCAGCAGCGACCGCCGCUCCUCGUCCUCGUCCAUGUCAAGCGCCACCUCCGUGAGCAUGCCGCAGCCAGCUGGGUGAGGCUGACUCGCUCGGGCCCACACCACCGCAGCGCCCGUGUCGGCAAGCAUCGUUGAGUGCACUGCGAAAAGAGGUGCGCUUGUGCGUCUUCAUGUCGAGAGGAGACAAUUUAGAAAGCGAGAAAGGGGAGAUACGAGCUGCCUCUGUGUGUGUGUGGGGGGGGGUGUAUAUGCAUGUCUGUGUAUGUAUAUGUACAUGUGUGUGUGGGUGGGUGUGCGGGCGUGUGCGAGCCCAAGGAAAACAAAAGAAGGCCGAACGGCACGCGCACCUAUCUGCUCUCUCGACGACGGGACACAUUACGUAGGGACGGCCAUCGCCUCCACCACUCGAUCCCUCGAACGAAGGCGUUCCCGCUUUCUCACACGGGUCAGUAUCGUGCUUCAUCUCUCUUUUUUCUCUUGCCGUUCCUGCCGUCGCUCACUGCCACACACGCGUUGCCAUCUCGCUACACGCGCUCAUCCUUUUCCUCAG
rnacentral:misc_RNA from 1 species